CUUUUUUUGCGCUUUGCGCCUAGGCCCCAGGCGAGGCCUGUGCGUCUUGAGUGCGCCUAUUGGUCUUUAAUAACUAUGACCAGUUGAACUGAAGAAACAAAGCUGAUGUUCUGUUCAGAUGAUCAAUAAAACCAAUCAUCAUGUUUCUUUCAAGAUCAAAACUACGAAUCCCAGACCGAAUACUGGAGUUAUUGAUCCAAAUGCAUUUUACAGGUGCUUGCUUACUUGAAGUCUUGAGAUAGUUUUUCUUUUUCUUUUUAACUUUAAUAAUAUUUCUCUCAUUGAUACCAAUACAUAACCUGUACGAGUCAACUCAUACCAGCACACAACAUUCAUGUAUAAAACUAAACAUGGUUUAAAUAAAUACCUCCAGACUACUAGACAAAUUACGCCAAAUGUUAGCAUUUACCAUCCAGCACCACUUCAAUCGGCAGGGCGCGCUAUAGCGAUGGCUACGCUCACUAUUGACAACUAUGGUUAUUACCUCUUUUAGCUUUAAAAACUCUCCAUAGUCAUCCCAUAAGACUCAUAUCCUUGCAUGUAAGACCUCGUGACUUAACUAAAUCCAAAUUUGCACCACAAUUGAAAGGAAAACUACAAUCUGACCCACCUUCCAACAAGACACAUGCUUAAUGGGCUUUGUCAACAUGAAACACCUACACUCCUCUAUUCCAUCUUGCUUUAUGACCGCCUUUGCGAUGACAACACACAACAGUAAUACUUAUUUUUAUUACGUAAGUACGUAACAAAGGACUAUGCCUUGCUCAAACAUCACGUCAGCCAAAACGCAACCUACAUCCACAUAUGCUGCAAAAGAAAGCAACAUCCAUACUUGUUUUUACUUCAUGGAUAAAGCACUCUCUAUCUAUCCACAUUUUAAAAGGUUCUUCAUUGGACACACAAAGUAACUCCCUUCGUUUGGAUACAUUCGAUCACCAUUAAUGUAGUAUAAGAAGACAUGGUUUACCAUCUCCCCUCCCCCUUUCACUAAUCACUCAACAAGCCUCUUAUUGAAAGUCUGUGUUGUAAUAGCCACCUUCAAAGCUGAAGAACCUUUACUGGUGCCCGGUGUUCAUUAGCUAAAACAGAAGGUUCCUCAUGGGCUGGGCCAUUGCAUAAGCUAUGGAACUCUUAAGACUUAGUGUAGUAACUGACUGACAUUGUCAUGGCCAAAAUUUCCAAUCAUUUUGCAGCUUGUAAUAUAACCAUUAAUCAAUGUCUACCAGAAUCUACAAAUAUUUUAUAUGGCAUUUUAGCUAUGCUAUGAUUGACCGGAUACUUCAUCUUGGAUUCACAUAUUAGAAUAAGAACCACGAUCGUCCUAUCUAGUAGGUGAAAGCUUUUAUAUACUGAUAGGAGUUGUUUCCCUCAUACGUGCUGAACGUUCACUUGCAUGACAUCCAUGUUUUCCUUGUUUAUUGUAUGCAUGAUCGCCGUCAUAUUAGGUAGCGGUUUGGUUACUUCUGCAUAUUUAAAGUUGUGUACGUGCAUUUUGAGAUAUGAAGAAAAAUUGUUUCAAGCUUUUGUCUUCUUUGUGAUACCUUCUGAGGAGAUUCGUUCGCCAUCCCAAACUAGGCUAUUUCAAUGACCAUGUGUUUUAACUUUGGCCGAUUUGGACGUUAUAUAUUUAAGAUAUGGCUUAAGUAGUAUCCUUAGGGGGUCAAGAUGGGUAGACUUCAAUGUGAGAAGAAAAACAAAACGGGUCAUGAUAUACACUCUACACAGGACAGGUUUACCUGGCAGUUUGACACCUUAGUUUUCUCUCGGCUGACAAUUGACACCUUCUCGGUUCUCUCUUGACUGAACAUCGACAUCGUCUCAGUUCUCACUUGGAAAACCAACCUUCUCAGUUCUUUCUAGAGUCUCCACAGGGAUCUUGAAGAAAUUGUUUGGUGAAUUCUUGUGAAAAUCACGGGUUUAUUAGAGUUGAUGAAGUUUAACAUGGGCGACUGCAUUUCUGCCAAAGUGAAAGAUGAGAUUUUUGGCGCGUGUGAAGUCAGCUGUAGUCAAAGUGGAGAAGAUAAAAACUUCACCAGGAACCAACUUUCUUCCGGAUUUAUUGCUUACAAAGAUUGAAAUCCCCAUUUUGCAAUUAUAUGAGGAGUGUUGUUACUGCUAGGCAAGCUGGUUUACCUAAUGGGUCAUUGUAGGAAUCUAUAUGAUGGUUCUAGACUUGGUAGUAGCCGCAACUGUGGGGGUGUAUUAAAGCAGUCCGAGCAUCUUCGCAUAUGAAAAACAAACGUGCUGUGGUGGUCAGGUCAUUUUGGUCAGAAGGCUAUUUCUGUUCUAGCAAAGUUUUCUUCUCCGAUUGGAGUCUCAUUGCUGGAUCAAAUAGCCGAACAUAUCUGCAAUUUUGCAUGCCAAAUGGGUACUAUACCUUUCUUAUAUGUCAUUUUGAUCAAAGCCCGUUCUAACACGAACUAAAUUGACCAUUCUACAAACUGGUAUGUUCUGACCCACAAUGGCGAAGCUUGAGAUUUUCAACCCGGGGGUCGAAAACGUAUAUACCUAAAAAAUUAUAAAACAGUGGGGUCGAAAACGUAUAUGCCUAAAAAAAUCUAUACGAAAACUACAUACCGGACACUACUUAACGAAAAGUUUGGGGGUCGGGCGCCCCCCCGGCACCUUCUAUCCUGCGCCACUGCUGACCCAUACCCCUUUUGGUCAAAACCUGUUUUUGAAGCGAACAAAAAUGACCACUUUUUUUUUUAAACAACUGGUUCUCACCCAUCACCCUGUCCUGCUCGCAAGUUUUUCUAUUAGACUAUAUUAGGAUACGUAUUUUACAUUUAUUAUUCUAGAG